UGUGGAGGGAGUCCUUGGUCGGCUGCCCGGCUUCUGCCCCUCUGCUCUUCACCAUCCUCAGCACAACUGGGAGAGAAAACAUGGAUGCACCCAUUUCUAUCGUGGGCAAAACAGGCUUGGGGAGGUUAAACUAUUUCCAAUGAAAAUAAGUUUGUACGGUGAGGGUGUUCUGUGGAGCAAUGUUUAUCUAUGAAUUGCACUUACAUCAACAAAAUCAAUAUCUGCUGGAAGUGCCUUGCAGACAGCUGCAGCAGUGUCAAUUAUUUGAAAAACCCAUUCUUUAGAGUUAUUGCUGAAAGAGAGUUUGAGAGUGUUUAAGGGCCCUUCAUUCAGAAGUGUGCUCCACUGACUGAUUUUAAUACGUUCAGGCAAGAGAACCAAUUCAUUUUUUCUCUGCAAGGAGCAGCUCAGGAAAGCCUUGCCAGUUGUAUGAAUGUCCCUCUCAGUAACACCUGCAGCAGCUCUGGCACCCAGAUGUGUGUGUGACACAUCAGCACAACACGAGGGGACAGAUUGCCACAUGGAGUACAUGUUGCUUCAGUGAUUCUCACAAAGUCUUUCAUCAGCUGCCAG